rnacentral:rRNA from 1 species
CAGUCGCCGCGGGAAUACGUAGGUGGCAAGCGUUGUCCGGAAUUAUUGGGCGUAAAGCGCGCGCAGGUGGUUUAAUAAGUCUGAUGUGAAAGCCCACGGCUCAACCGUGGAGGGUCAUUGGAAACUGUUAAACUUGAGUGCAGGAGAGAAAAGUGGAAUUCCUAGUGUAGCGGUGAAAUGCGUAGGGAUUAGGAGGAACACCAGUGGCGAAGGCGGCUUUUUGGCCUGUAACUGACACUGAGGUGCGAAAGCGUGGGGAGCAGACAGGAUUAGAUACCCGCGUAGUCCCUGUCUCUUAUAC